AACUCUCAACGAUGGAUGCCUCGGCUCGAGAAUCGAUGAAGGACGCAGCGAAGUGCGAUAAGCACUGCGAUUUGCAGAAUUCCGUGAACC
rnacentral:rRNA from 1 species